CAGGUGCCUUCUUCUCCAUGUUACAGAUGAGCAGACACCAGCGGUUGCAGCUGGAACUGGAAUGCACAAUGCCGGCUUCCCUUGAGCAAAACAGCUCACCCCAAGGUCCUCUUCAAUCACCAGGAGACCCUGCAGCCUGUCUGGAGAACUACAGACGGAGGAUGACAUCUCACUCUGGCCUCUCCAGAAUGGGCAACAUCCUGGCCCCUCCCCGCACACCCAACCAUCUGACAGGUUUUGCCUCCAACUUACAUUCCUUGUGAUGGGGGAAUGCUGAUACCUGCUUGGUUGAGCGACAGAAGAAGAUAAUC